UGCAGGCUAUAUAUUUCAAUUACAAUGGCGAUAGAUUAAAGGCCUUAGAACAUUUCCUCGAAUGUGCAAACUGACAGAAGGACACUCAAUUUUCAUAAGUUCAGUCGUUCAUUCUCUGUUUUUGUCAGGUAGAGAUCUCAUUUUAUUUAUUCUUCAGUAUAUUGAUAUCAAUUACUCUGUUCGGUCACUUGCCCUUCACUUUAUUUUUGAGUGGAAUUAAAUUUGACAUUGGGGUCCAUCACUUUUGGUGGUAAUUGGAUUCUUGAGAAUCAUAAUUUUUCAGCUCCUAUGUUGGUUUAAUAAUUGGGAAUCAUGAUAUGAAGUUAAAGGAAUGCGAAAUUAAAGCUUUUAAAUUAUGAUUUCCAUGAUUUGAUAUCUCACCAAUCAAUUUGGAAUUCCGGAAACUUUGCAAAUGAUUAUUUUAGGAGGAAAUUGCUGGAAAUGAUCGGAUAACCCAUUCCUAUUUCCAAAGUGACCUUUGACCACCUUUUUAAUUAAAAAAAUAAAUAAAAUUGAAUUUAAAGUUUAAAAUCCCAAAAUAUAAAUUGGCUUCUCACAAAACUGAAAAAAAAGGUCGAUUUCCAGUCGAUCGGAGAAAUUGCUAGUCCAUCGCCGACGAAUUACUUCUUGUUAAGGUAACCAUUAUUAUAUUGAAUAUUUGGUUGGAUUAGUGUUUAGAUUUUGGUAAAAGGUGUGUGAUUCUUUUGUGGGAGAUUUUUUCAAUAAAUUGUUGUUUAUAUGUGUAAAAUAGAGUUUAUAUUAUGUUUUAAUGGUUAGUUUUUUAAAUUUGGAAGUUUUUCUUGUCGGAAAUGAUGAUUUUUCGACGAGAAAGGCGUUAGGACGCCAGCUGGGGGUAAAACCCGACUAUUAUACAGUCGACCCACUCUUUUUUUUUUCAGCCUAAUUUUUUUUAACAUAUAAUUUAAUAAUUUAAUUUUAAAUAAUUUUUAUUGUUAGUUUUUAAUAAAUAAUAUAUUAUUUAGUCGUCGAAUUUAAAUAAAAUUGUUACGACUAAAUUUAAAUAAAAUUUUUACAUUUAAUUUUUGUUUUAAUAUUUAUUUUUAUUUACUCAUUUUUGAUAAAUAAUAAUUUUUUAGUUCAUCGAAUUGAAAUAAUUAUUUUAAUUGUGAACUUAAAUUUUAUAUUUAUUUUUAUUAUUAGUCUUUGAUAAAUAAUAAUUUAUUUAGUCGUCGAAUUUAAAUAAAUUAUUUACUUUUAAUUUUAAAUUUUAUUAAUAGUUUUGGAUGAUAUUCUUUUCGUUUAUCAAAUUUAAUUAAUGUUUUUAAUUUUAAUUUGAAAUAAUUUUUGGAAAUUUAAUAUUUAUUUUUAUUAUUAGUUUUUGAUAAAUAAUAAUUUAUUUAGUCGUCGAAUUUAAAUAAAUUAUUUACUUUUAAUUUUAUUAAUAGUUUUGGAUAAUAUUCUUUUCGUUGAUCAAAUUUAAUUAAUUUUUUAAUUAUAAAUAAUUGUUGAAAAUUUAAUUUGAAAUUUAAUAUUUAUAUUUAUUUUUAUUUUUAUUAUUAGUUUUUUAUAAAUAAUAUUAUUUUCGUUCUUCGAAUUUAAAUAUUUUUUGAACGUGAAUUGAUUAAAAAUAUAUUGAUAAUUGAGAAAAAUUAACAUUAUUGAUAAUAGGAUAAAAAAAUUUAUAUUACUGAUGAUUUUAAUUAUUAUGAAUCUGCGUCUUGCGUAUUGUAGUUACAAUUUCGUUCGCUAAAUUUUCUGUUAUUAUGCUUUAUUCUAUUAUCACUUGUACAAUGUUAUAACAUUUUGAAUUUUUAUAGGAUGAAUUAUCAUCUUGACGCAGAGUUGAGACAGAUGCCAGACAAAACUACGUGGAAUAGUAGUUUUGACAGUUUCAUUGCUGUGUUAGAGCUGCUCGAUGAUCAACGUGCUGAUAUGUUGUGUCAGUCUUUCCUAUGGCCCUUGUACCCAUUGAGAGAUCUACAGUAUUUGGGUCAGAUUAUUGAAGCACUUCUAUGUCGAUUGCUGAGUCCAGUCGACGGCGAUACCCUCCACUUCGCAAUCGGGGGUAAAGUCGCCAGUUUUUCGAUGUUCGAGUUUGCUCUGAUCACGAGAUUAAAGAUUACGGGCGAUGAAGCAGUUGGUGAUGAGAUUUAGAGAAGACAUAGAGUUCAUGACGCUUACUUCGAGGGACAGGGAACUAUGCUUCUUACAUAGUUGUUGGACACAGUCAGGAGGUGUGAUCACAUGUUAGACAGAUUGAAGUUAGGUCUGGUCCACAUUCUUGAGAGCAUGGUGUGGUGUCACCAUAAGAAGACUGCGAUCGACCUCUUCCAUCUGGAGAUCGUUGACGACAUCGAUCAUUUCGACGACUAUCCGUGGGGCUAAAGAUGUUUUGAGGACAUUGUACACGUUUUCACCAGAUCACACUUAAAGCCAAAGUGAGCUAUGCGUAAGUACGACACCUAUGGAUUGCUCCUGGCGGUGCAGGUAAAAGG
rnacentral:lncRNA from 1 species